GGUGGUUUUCGGGUGCCACACCCCAGGAUCAGGCUCCCUCUUCUCUUGUUCUGGGUGUGUCACCUGAGAACCACA
rfam:Myotis davidii contig191872, whole genome shotgun sequence.